GUUUAUUUAGUUUAUAUAAAACAUUUCUCUGAAGAGGAAAAGAAUUAAUAUAAAAUAAACA
rnacentral:tRNA from 1 species